rnacentral:rRNA from 1 species
UACGUAGGGGGCAAGCGUUGUCCGGAAUCAUUGAGCGUAAAGAGCGUGUAGGCGGCUCGAUAAGUCUGCUGUGAAAGUCCAGGGCUCAACCCUGGAAGGCCGGUGGAAACUGUCGGGCUAGAGUCCGGAAGAGGCGAGUGGAAUUCCCGGUGUAGCGGUGAAAUGCGCAGAUAUCGGGAGGAACACCAAUGGCGAAGGCAGCUCGCUGGGACGGUACUGACGCUGAGACGCGAAAGCGUGGGGAGCAAACAGG